rnacentral:lncRNA from 1 species
UCGACCGGCAAAAUAAGCUCGGUUUUUAGAAAUUAAGCAUCCAUUAACGUGACGAAGGCAAAUGAUGAGAGCUCAUAAAUCCAAAUAAACCGUCAAUCGAGCUACCGUUCCCUGCUCAGUUAUUCGGUUCCAUGCGGUACUCAAGAGUUGGAGUACGGGUGCUGGGUGAGCGUCGGGUAAGGCCCGGUGCGACUCAGUCAUUUCAUAGAGCACCACAUCUGCGCGCAGAGUGGGACAGCAAGAUUCAGGAGGCGGACAGGGUGAAGUCGGCCAUGGAUCCAGAGUUCUGGAGCUGCCUUCUCCUUUUUCGGCCGUCUAUCGCCACCCACGUCCCCGACUACGCCGGGAUCCGCCGCCUCUUCCUUCAUCGCAAGGCCCAGUUCUUGCCGUUGAUCGAUCGCCGCAAGGUGCCUUUUUAUUUGAUCCAUUAGUUGUCGUUUGUAGCCUGAAUGGAUCUUUAGCGGAUUCUUGCCAAGGAUGUGGUGAAAAUUGUGAAAUCUUUGCAUCAAAUUGAGUUGAACGAAUGAAGAUGCAAUUGCAGAGGGUAUGUGCCGUUUAGGAGACUAGGAGAGCCGGUUGGAUGUAGGGUUUCCAAAUGAAUUCCGAUCUUAUUUGGUCGUGUUAAGUUAUGAGGUCAUUUGGGCUCGUGAGCUACUCGGACUUGAGCUCGGGCUCGGACUUGAAUUCAAACGGGC